rnacentral:tRNA from 1 species
GCCUGGGUGGCUCAGUCGGUUAAGCGUCUGACUUCAGCUCAGGUCACGAUCUCGCGGUCCGUGAGUUCGAGCCCCACGUCAGGCU